CAUUUUUGAAUUAUUAAUGAUGAAUGAAUGUCUUUCAUCGUCGGCAACUAAAACGACCGUAUCAUUUUCUAGUUUUUCCCCUUUAUACGAAUGCAACAUUAUGUUGUUUCACAAAGUAUUACAUCUCAUACUCCCUCCGUCCAUGAAAUAAAUUAUCAGUUGGGGUUCGGCACGGAGACUAAUAAAACUGAAAAAGGUGGUGUAAAAGAUUAAAAUGGUAGUGUUUAUGUAUUGUGAUUACUUUUACUAAUCUUUCACUAGC
rnacentral:lncRNA from 1 species